rnacentral:rRNA from 4 species
CCGUCCGAUUUGUGAAGUUAAGCAGCCACAGGCUUAGUUAGUACUGAGGUCAGUGAUGACUCGGGAACCCUGAGUGCCGUACCCUCAACAACACUC